rnacentral:rRNA from 1 species
UACGUAUGGAGCAAGCGUUAUCCGGAUUUACUGGGUGUAAAGGGAGCGCAGGCGGUCUGGCAAGUCUGAUGUGAAAGGCCGGGGCUCAACCCCGGGACUGCAUUGGAAACUGUCAGACUGGAGUGUCGGAGAGGUAAGCGGAAUUCCUAGUGUAGCGGUGAAAUGCGUAGAUAUUAGGAGGAACACCAAUGGCGAAGGCGGCUUACUGGACGAUGACUGACGCUGAGGCUCGAAAGCGUGGGGAGCAAACAGG